rnacentral:lncRNA from 1 species
AAAAUCCUGAUGAAGAUGAUGGUGAUGGUUAUGGUGAUGGCAGCAGCUAUCCUUUGCAGAAGAAAGCCUGCUCCAAAAUGGAAGAGCCUGCAUAUCUCAUCUCUGGGACAUGGAGUGGACUGAGCUGGAAAGCCCCAAGGGUCAGUUUACAAAGUGUGCACAGUGUUGCGAACACCUGAGCUUGGGUAAUUCACAACAUUUCACUCGUGGGGUCUGGUACUCAAGUGUCCGGAGAGAGCAAAGGGACAUGGAGUCAAUAUGGAUUUCAACAAGGAAGUUCAGCAGCCUUCGCUCCAGACUAAGGCCAUCACCGUAUUCAUACAAACGUAAGGAGCUGUGCCUAGCCACCACCCACUUGUGAGUGCCCCUGGCUCCCCCAUUUUCCUUCCUUUCUUCUGAAUUACACGUGGGAAGUAG